rnacentral:rRNA from 1 species
CGCAAAGCCUGAUGCAGCCAUGCCGCGUGUAUGAAGAAGGCCUUCGGGGUUGUAAAGUACUUUCAGUCGUGAGGAAGGCGGCGUCGUUAAUAGCGGCGUUGUUUGACGUUAGCGACAGAAGAAGCACCGGCUAACUCCGUGCCAGCAGCCGCGGUAAUACGGAGGGUGCGAGCGUUAAUCGGAAUUACUGGGCGUAAAGCGCAUGCAGGUGGUUUGUUAAGUCAGAUGUGAAAGCCCGGGGCUCAACCUCGGAAUUGCAUUUGAAACUGGCAGACUAGAGUACUGUAGAGGGGGGUAGGAAUUUCAGGUGUAGCGGUGAAAUGCGUAGAGAUCUGAAGGAAUACCGGUGGCGAAGGCGGCCCCCUCGGACAGAUACUGACACUCAGAUGCGAAAGCGUGGGGAGCAAACAGGAUUAGAUACCCUGGUAG